rnacentral:rRNA from 1 species
GAUGAACGCUGGCGGCGUGCCUAAUGCAUGCAAGUCGAGCGAACAGACGAGGAGCUUGCUCCUCUGACGUUAGCGGCGGACGGGUGAGUAACACGUGGAUAACCUACCUAUAAGACUGGGAUAACUUCGGGAAACCGGAGCUAAUACCGGAUAAUAUAUUGAACCGCAUGGUUCAAUAGUGAAAGACGGUUUUGCUGUCACUUAUAGAUGGAUCCGCGCCGCAUUAGCUAGUUGGUAAGGUAACGGCUUACCAAGGCAACGAUGCGUAGCCGACCUGAGAGGGAUCGGCCACACUGGAACUGAGACACGGUCCAGACUCCUACGGGAGGCAGCAGUAGGGAAUCUUCCGCAAUGGGCGAAAGCCUGACGGAGCAACGCCGCGUGAGUGAUGAAGGUCUUCGGAUCGUAAAACUCUGUUAUUAGGGAAGAACAAAUGUGUAAGUAACUAUGCACGUCUUGACGGUACCUAAUCAGAAAGCCACGGCUAACUACGUG